UACAGGGGGGGCAAGCGUUGUUCGGAAUUACUGGGCGUAAAGGGUCUGUAGGUGGCCAACUAAGUCAGACGUGAAAUCCCUCAGCUUAACUGGGGAACUGCGUCUGAUACUGGAUGGCUCGAGUGUGGGAGAGGAAUGCGGAAUUCCAGGUGUAGCGGUGAAAUGCGUAGAUAUCUGGAGGAACACCGGUGGCGAAGGCGGCAUUCUGGACCAUAACUGACGCUGAUGCACGAAAGCUAGGGGAGCAAACAGG
rnacentral:rRNA from 1 species